UACGUAGGCAGCAAGCGUUGUUCGGAGUUACUGGGCGUAAAGGGUGUGUAGGCGGUUUUCUAAGUCUGGUGUGAAAUCUCCCGGCUCAACUGGGAGGGUGCGCCGAAAACUGGAAGGCUAGAGUGCGGGAUGGGAGAGUGGAAUUCCUGGUGUAGCGGUGAAAUGCGUAGAUAUCAGGAGGAGCACCUGUGGUGUAGACGGCUCUCUGGACCGCAACUGACGCUGAGACACGAAAAGCGUGGGUAGCAAACAGG
rnacentral:rRNA from 1 species